rnacentral:misc_RNA from 1 species
GAUGAAGACGUAGUGAAAUGCGAUAAGUAGUGUGAAUUGCAGAAUUCAGUGAAUCAUCGAAUCUUUAAACGCACAUUGCGCCCCUUGGUAUUCCAUGGGGCAUGCCUGUUCGAGCGUCAUCUACAACCCUCAAGCCCUGCUUGGUGUUGGGCGUCUGUCCCGCCCCCGCGCGCGGACUCGCCCCAAAUCCAUUGGCGGCGGCCCUUGCCUCCCUCUCGCGCAGCACAUUGCGCUUCUCGAGGCGUCGCGGGCCGCGCUCCACGAAGCACGCAAACCAGUCUUUGACCUCGGAUCAGGUAGGGAUACCCGCUGAACUUAAGCAUAUCAAUAGGCGGAGGA